AACGAACGCUGGCGGCAGGCUUAACACAUGCAAGUCGAGCGCUGUAGCAAUACAGAGCGGCAGACGGGUGAGUAACGCGUGGGAAUCUACCCAACCCUACGGAAUAACGCAUGGAAACGUGUGCUAAUACCGUAUACGACCGAGAGGUGAAAGAUUUAUGCGGGGAUGGAUGAGCCCGCGUUGGAUUAGCUAGUUGGUGGGGUAAAGGCCUACCAAGGCGACGAUACAUAGCUGGUCUGAGAGGAUGAUCAGCCACAUUGGGACUGAGACACGGCCCAAACGCCUAAGGGAGGCAGCAGUGGGGAAUAUUGGACAAUGGGCGAAAGCCUGAUCCAGCCAUGCCGCGUGAGUGAUGAAGGCCCUAGGGUUGUAAAGCUCUUUCACCGGUGAAGAUAAUGACGGUAACCGGAGAAGAAGCCCCGGCUAACUUCGUGCCAGCCGCCGCCGUAAGAC
rnacentral:rRNA from 1 species